rnacentral:rRNA from 1 species
AGGUCCCGCCUGCCCUGUGAUUUUUUAACGGCCGCGGUAUCCUGACCGUGCGAAGGUAGCGUAAUCAAUUGUCUUUUAAUUAAAGGCCCGUAUGAAAGGCAUCACGAGAGUUUAACUGUCUUUAUUUUCUAAUCAAUGAAAUUGAUCCUCUCGUGCAGAACCGAGAAUAAUAACAUAAGACGAGAAGACCCUAUGGAGCUUCAAACACUUAAGUUACCUUAUAAAUAACAACAAUAUUAUACCCAAGGGUAUAAAAACAAAAAUAACCUCUAACUUAACUUGUUUUUGGUUGGGGCGACCAAGGGGAAAAACAAAACCCCCUUAUCGAAUGUGUAAAAUUACUCAAAAUUAGAAUUACAAUUCUAAUUAAUAGAAAAUCUAACGAAUAAUGACCCAGGACUCUAUCCUGAUCAAUGAACCAAGUUACCCUAGGGAUAACAGCGCAAUCCUUUCCCAGAGCUCCCAUCGCCGAAAGGGUUUACGACCUCGAUGUUGGAUCAGGACAUCCUAAUGGUGUAGCCGCUAUUAAGGGUUCGUUUGUUCAACGAUUAACAGUCCUACGUGAUC